rnacentral:rRNA from 1 species
ACUGGAACUGAGACACGGUCCAGACUCCUACGGGAGGCAGCAGUGAGGAAUCUUCCACAAUGGGCGAAAGCCUGAUGGAGCAACGCCGCGUGCAGGAUGAAGGCCUUCGGGUCGUAAACUGCUUUUAUAAGUGAAGAAUAUGGCGGUAUCUUAUGAAUAAGGAUCGGCUAACUACGUGCCAGCAGCCGCGGUCAUACGUAGGAUCCGAGCAUUAUCCGGAGUGACUGGGCGUAAAGAGUUGCGUAGGCGGUUAGUAAAGCGAAUAGUGAAACCUGGUGGCUCAACCACACAGACUAUUAUUCGAACUCGCUAACUCGAGAAUGGUAGAGGUAACUGGAAUUUCUUGUGUAGGAGUGAAAUCCGUAGAUAUAAGAAGGAACACCAAUGGCGUAGGCAGGUUACUGGACCAUUUCUGACGCUAAGGCACGAAAGCGUGGGGAGCGAACCGGAUUAGAUACCCGGGUAGUCCACGCCGUAAACGAUGGAUACUAGCUGUUGGGGGUAUCGACCCCCCCAGUAGCGAAGCUAACGCGUUAAGUAUCCCGCCUGUGGAGUACGGUCGCAAGACUAAAACAUAAAGGAAUUGACGGGGACCCGCACAAGCGGUGGAUCGUGUUCUUUAAUUCGAUGAUAAACGAAGAACCUUACCAGGGCUUGACAUCCAGGGAAGUUCUGCGAAAGCAGAGUGUGCCUUUUGGAACCCUGUGACAGGUGUUGCAUGGCCGUCGUCAGCUCGUGUCGUGAGAAUGUUUGGUUAAGUCCAUCAACGAGCGCAACCCUUGAACUUAGUUGUAUUUUUCUAGGUAGACUGCCCCGGCAACGGGGAGGAAGGAGGGGAUGAUGUCAGGUCAGUAUUACCCUUACGUCCUGGGCUAGAAACGCGAUACAAUGGCUAGUACAAUGCGCAGCAAAGCCGCGAGGUGGAGCAAAUCGCAUCAAAGCUAGUCUCAGUUCGGAUAAGAGGCUGAAACUCGCCUCUUUGAAGUCGGAAUCGCUAGUAAUCGCAGAUCAGCAAGCUGCGGUGAAUACGUUCCCGGGUCUUGUACACACCGCCCGUCAAACCAUGAAAGUGACCAACACCCGAAGUCCGAUUCGUCGGCCUAAGGUGGGGGGCAUGAUUGGGGUU